rnacentral:misc_RNA from 1 species
GAUAAAUAGUGUCAUAUUGAUUACAUAAAAUGAAUGAAAAAAAUACAGAAAUUGAAUGAGUUGUUAAAAAUGUGAAUCCAUAAAGUGAAUGAACAAAAUAUAAUUACAGAAACUGAAUAAACUAAAUGCAUAAUCUGAAUAAUAAAAUAUGGAAAGCGAAUGAAACAAAUGAAAUUUGUAAAAGGGACUCGCUACAACAUUGUAGCUGUAGUGAGUCACUAUAC